UAAGUGAAGAGUUUGAUCCUGGCUCAGAGUGAACGCUGGCGGUAGGCCUAACACAUGCAAGUCGAACGGCAGCACAGUAAGAGCUUGCUCUUAUGGGUGGCGAGUGGCGGACGGGUGAGGAAUACAUCGGAAUCUACUUUUUCGUGGGGGAUAACGUAGGGAAACUUACGCUAAUACCGCAUACGACCUACGGGUGAAAGCAGGGGAUCUUCGGACCUUGCGCGAUUGAAUGAGCCGAUGUCGGAUUAGCUAGUUGGCGGGGUAAAGGCCCACCAAGGCGACGAUCCGUAGCUGGUCUGAGAGGAUGAUCAGCCACACUGGAACUGAGACACGGUCCAGACUCCUACGGGAGGCAGCAGUGGGGAAUAUUGGACAAUGGGCGCAAGCCUGAUCCAGCCAUACCG
rnacentral:rRNA from 1 species